UGCACGCUCCUUAGAUCCAUCUCUGAUUACCCAAGGAGAUGCUUGAGUCAUUGGUGUGCUAUAAUAGGCAAUACCUAUUUUCUAGUCUUUGUUUGUCGAUUAAAUUUUUGAUUUGAACGUGCAAAAAUUAUUCUAUGUCGAUAAUUAGUCUGGAAAAUGGACACU